AGCGUUGAUAAUAUGUUGGCUUUGGGUGAAUCAGGACAUUGUCAAUAAUCUUUAUUAUACACGUACAUGUACACAUCUGGCAAUUUUGUAAGAUUUAACAAUUUAUUUAUUAAAGAUACUUUUAAUGGAAUUAAUGGCAGUUGAACAUAUUUCGCUUGUCUAAGGUAAAGCUGGAGCUCCUAUCAUCAGUGGCUACAGUGGUCCUGUACUUGCUGGGACGACUCUUAGACUCUCCUGCAGUAGCCAAGGAGGAAAACCUCCACCAACGUUAUCAUGGACACUGGAUCCAGCUAUUUCAGAGGCGUCAUCUGUCGCCAGAUCUGGACACAAUGUCGACAUCUCACUGAGACGGGAUCACCACGGCAAGACUGUCACCUGCACUGCGACACAAGAGGAACAUUCUGAUCUCCUUCCGUCACAGUCAACACCACCAUUGACUUUAGACGUACAUUAUGCUCCCAUGUUAACAAUCGCGGUGACGUCUCCUAAUGUGACAGUCGAUGGCGCUUCAGUACAAGUUACCGAGGGAGAAAAUGUUAUGAUCUCAUGCAAAGUAGAUAGUAACCCGACAGCAACCGUAACAUGGAGGGUACCUAGGAACGUUCCAUCACCUGGAAACAAGCUUGCGUUUGGAAUCAGUAACAUCACAAGAUACCAAAAUGGGACCUACUCUUGCACUGCCUCGAACACGGUAGCAACUACAACGAACAUGACAAAAGUGGAGGUUUUGUACCCACCUAAAAUAUUGACCAAUGUCAAGCAAAAGAUAGUAAAAGUCGGGUCGAGUCUACGUCUUGCAUGUGUCGCCGAAGGGAACCCAGCGCCUACCAUCAUUUGGUUAAACGGCAGUGACGGCUACCAGCGACUGUUCAACCCACUGGUAAUACCUGUCGUGAGCUACUCCAUGGCUGGUAAAUACAUCUGCAUCGCCGGGUCCCCGAGGUUCAGAGAUCGGCUUGACCAAAGGGAGGUCUUUAUAGAAGUA